GUCCAAAGCACGUUGUCUGGUCUAUGCCAAGACAGCUGGAGUGAAGUCACAGGCUAAUUGUGACAAUUCUCCUACCAAGGAGCUACAGGGCGUAGUUAUGACAAUUAACAUGGCAGAAAUGGAGCCAGGGAGGGGAGGGACUUCAGCAAAGACAUCUGCUGGGAAAAUGAAGGGACAGAACUGCUGCCACCACUGUGACUCACAAAAGAAAGUAAUAGAGGGGAUAGAGCAGAGGGGAAAGAGACCAGAAUUCCAGUGAAAUGAAGCAGAGAUUUAGUGAGCCCAGCUCAGAGUUGUCUCUACCUCCAUGUCAGCAUUCCCUGGAGCCUGGAGUCUUUGCUUGACAUGGAUGAGCUGCUUGUUUCAGAGACUGCAGCCUCAGGUGAGU
rnacentral:lncRNA from 12 species